UUGAUAGCUGAGUCAGUACAGCAUGAGACUCUUGAUCUCAGGGUUGUGAGGUUCAAGCCCCACAUUGGGCAAAA